UUUCACUUCCUGCAAAGUCAAAGAGAUAUAACUGACCCACUGUGUGAGGAGUGCUCUGAUAGGUUUUUAGAGUGACUAGAUAUCUAACUAGCUUCUUAUAACGAAAGAUGAAUAUCAGAGCUACAAAUACCUUUUGGAAAAGAAGAAGAUGAUGUGUGAGUAGGAAAAGUAGAAUUAAUAGAUUGAGUUCAGAAAGUGAAUCAGAUUCAGGAACUGGAGGAAGUGAAAAUAAACUAAAAAAAUGUCAGGACAUUUUGAGAAGUUCAGGUAGAAACUGAAAAGAUGAACCCAGAGGAAAACAAAUAUGGGAAAUUUAAACCUUAACAGUUGGAACUGGAUGCUGGGCUGCAGAAUGAAGAAAACCAGCUGCCUUAGGCACAGAUUUUGCUAAACAUGCUGGAGAAAACCAACAUUUUUAGUGAGAAGCUUGGCAUAUGGCAUGAUAGCCUCUUGGGCAUCACCAGUAUCUUCAGCCCCAGGGACUCAGUGGGCUGGAAGGAGAUUAAUGCCAUGUGGAGGCAGACAACUUUGGUGCUCAGAUCCUGUCCAAUAAUAUGGGACUGACAUUUCAGGGGCAUUGACUUGUUCCCUGUGGAAAUCAUUCCUAUUUUUGAAGUCUUUGACAGGGAACUGCCCCUGAACCACUCUGGAGACUCAAAACUUUUCUUCGAUAUACAUUUUAGUGUAUAAUGGAGGUUUUCCUGGAUGAGUCUGAGAAAGAUGAACUUGGUCAUUGUCUACCCUACACAACCAAUGAGGACAGAGGAAUGACUGAUAAGCAAAGAAGAAGAGAUGGGUCCUAUUUCAAAAGA
rnacentral:lncRNA from 1 species